GCCGGGCAUGGUGGCUCAUGCCUGUAAUCUCAGCAGUUUGGGAGGCCGAGGCAGGUGGAUCACCUGAGGUCAGGAGUUCGAGACUAGCCUGGCCAACAAGGUGAAACCCUGUCUCUA
ensembl:misc_RNA Metazoa_SRP Metazoan signal recognition particle RNA